rnacentral:rRNA from 1 species
UACGUAGGGUGCAAGCGUUAAUCGGAAUUACUGGGCGUAAAGCGUGCGCAGGCGGUUUUGUAAGUCUGACGUGAAAUCCCCGGGCUCAACCUGGGAAUUGCGUUGGAGACUGCAAGGCUAGAAUCUGGCAGAGGGGGGUAGAAUUCCACGUGUAGCAGUGAAAUGCGUAGAGAUGUGGAGGAACACCGAUGGCGAAGGCAGCCCACUGGGUCAAGAUUGACGCUCAUGCACGAAAGCGUGGGGAGCAAACAGG